UAUGGAGAGUUUGAUCCUGGCUCAGGACGAACGCUGGCGGCGUGCCUAAUACAUGCAAGUCGAGCGGACGGAUGGGAGCUUGCUCCCUGAAGUCAGCGGCGGACGGGUGAGUAACACGUGGGCAACCUGCCUGUAAGACUGGGAUAACUUCGGGAAACCGGAGCUAAUACCGGAUAAUGCACAGCCUCCCAUGAGGUUAUGCUGAAAGAUGGUUUCGGCUAUCACUUACAGAUGGGCCCGCGGCGCAUUAGCUAGUUGGUGAGGUAACGGCUCACCAAGGCAACGAUGCGUAGCCGACCUGAGAGGGUGAUCGGCCACACUGGGACUGAGACACGGCCCAGACUCCUACGGGAGGCAGCAGUAGGGAAUCUUCCGCAAUGGACGAAAGUCUGACGGAGCAACGCCGCGUGAGUGAUGAAGGUUUUCGGAUCGUAAAACUCUGUUGUCAGGGAAGAAUAAGUGCCGGAGUAACUGCCGGCACCUUGACGGUACCUGACCAGAAAGCCACGGCUAACUACGUGCCAGCAGCCGCGGUAAUACGUAGGUGGCAAGCGUUGUCCGGAAUUAUUGGGCGUAAAGCGCGCGCAGGCGGUCUCUUAAGUCUGAUGUGAAAGCCCACGGCUCAACCGUGGAGGGUCAUUGGAAACUGGGGGACU
rnacentral:rRNA from 1 species